CGAAGGGGGCUAGCGUUGCUCGGAAUUACUGGGCGUAAAGGGAGCGUAGGCGGGUUAUCAAGUUGGAGGUGAAAGCCCAGGGCUCAACCUUGGAAUUGCCUUCAAAACUGUUAACCUAGAGGAUGAUAGAGGUAAGUGGAACUCCGAGUGUAGAGGUGAAAUUCGUAGAUAUUCGGAAGAACACCAGUGGCGAAGGCGACUUACUGGAUCAUUACUGACGCUGAGGCUCGAAAGCGUGGGGAGCAAACAGGAUUAGAUACCCUGGUAGUCCACGCCGUAAACGAUGAUUGCUAGUUGUCAGCCGGCAUGCCGGUUGGUGACGCAGCUAACGCAUUAAGCAAUCCGCCUGGGGAGUACGGUCGCAAGAUUA
rnacentral:rRNA from 1 species